rnacentral:rRNA from 1 species
CGGCCAGACUCCUACGGGAGGCAGCAGUGGGGAAUAUUGCACAAUGGGGGGAACCCUGACCCAGCGACGCCGCGUGAGGGAAGAAGGUUUUCGGAUUGUAAACCUCUGUCCUUGGUGACGAUAAUGACGGUAGCCAAGGAGGAAGCCACGGCUAACUACGUGCCAGCAGCCGCGGUAAUACGUAGGGAGCAAGCGUUAUCCGGAUUUACUGGGUGUAAAGGGCGCGUAGGCGGGAUGGCAAGUCAGAUGUGAAAUCCAAGGGCUCAACCCUUGAACUGCAUUUGAAACUGUCGUUCUUGAGUACUGGAGAGGUUGACGGAAUUCCUAGUGUAGCGGUGAAAUGCGUAGAUAUUAGGAGGAACACCAGUGGCGAAGGCGGCCUGCUGGACGACAACUGACGGUGAGGCGCGAAAGCGUGGGGAGCAAACAGGAUUAGAUACCCCUGUAA